rnacentral:rRNA from 1 species
UACGAAGGGGGCUAGCGUUGUCCGGAAUUAUUGGGCGUAAAGGGCUCGUAGGCGGUUUGUCGCGUCGGGAGUGAAAACUCGGGGCUCAACUCCGAGCUUGCAGUCGAUACGGGCAGGCUAGAGUUCGGCAGGGGAGACUGGAAUUCCUGGUGUAGCGGUGAAAUGCGCAGAUAUCAGGAGGAACACCGGUGGCGAAGGCGGGUCUCUGGGCCGAUACUGACGCUGAGGAGCGAAAGCGUGGGGAGCGAACAGG